GACGAACGCUGGCGGCGUGCUUAACACAUGCAAGUCGAACGGAAAGGCCCUGCUUUUGUGGGGUGCUCGAGUGGCGAACGGGUGAGUAACACGUGAGUAACCUGCCCUUGACUUUGGGAUAACUUCAGGAAACUGGGGCUAAUACCGGAUAGGAGCUCCUGCUGCAUGGUGGGGGUUGGAAAGCUUCGGCGGUUGGGGAUGGACUCGCGGCUUAUCAGCUUGUUGGUGGGGUAGUGGCUUACCAAGGCUUUGACGGGUAGCCGGCCUGAGAGGGUGACCGGCCACAUUGGGACUGAGAUACGGCCCAGACUCCUACGGGAGGCAGCAGUGGGGAAUAUUGUACAAUGGGCGGAAGCCUGAUGCAGCAACGCCGCGUGCGGGAUGACGGCCUUCGGGUUGUAAACCGCUUUCGCCUGUGACGAAGCGUGAGUGACGGUAAUGGGUAAAGAAGCACCGGCUAACUACGUG
rnacentral:rRNA from 1 species